GACCAUCCUCCAAGGCUAAAUACUCCUGACUGACCGAUAGUGAACCAGUACCGUGAGGGAAAGGCGAAAAGAACCCCGGCGAGGGGAGUGAAAAAGAACCUGAAACCGUGUACGUACAAGCAGUGGGAGCCUCUUAAUGGGGUGACUGCGUACCUUUUGUAUAAUGGGUCAGCGACUUAUAUUCUGUAGCAAGGUUAACCGAAUAGGGGAGCCGAAGGGAAACCGAGUCUUAACUGGGCGUUAAGUUGCAGGGUAUAGACCCGAAACCCGGUGAUCUAGCCAUGGGCAGGUUGAAGGUUGGGUAACACUAACUGGAGGACCGAACCGACUAAUGUUGAAAAAUUAGCGGAUGACUUGUGGCUGGGGGUGAAAGGCCAAUCAAACCGGGAGAUAGCUGGUUCUCCCCGAAAGCUAUUUAGGUAGCGCCUCGUGAAUUCAUCUCCGGGGGUAGAGCACUGUUUCGGCAAGGGGGUCAUCCCGACUUACCAACCCGAUGCAAACUGCGAAUACCGGAGAAUGUUAUCACGGGAGACACACGGCGGGUGCUAACGUCCGUCGUGAAGAGGGAAACAACCCAGACCGCCAGCUAAGGUCCCAAAGUCAUGGUUAAGUGGGAAACGAUGUGGGAAGGCCCAGACAGCCAGGAUGUUGGCUUAGAAGCAGCCAUCAUUUAAAGAAAGCGUAAUAGCUCACUGGUCGAGUCGGCCUGCGCGGAAGAUGUAACGGGGCUAAACCAUGCACCGAAGCUGCGGCAGCGACGCUUAUGCGUUGUUGGGUAGGGGAGCGUUCUGUAAGCCUGUGAAGGUGUGCUGUGAGGC
rnacentral:rRNA from 1 species